rnacentral:rRNA from 1 species
GACGAACGCUGGCGGCGUGCCUAAUACAUGCAAGUCGAACGCUUCUUUCCUCCCGUUUGCUUGUACUCAAUUGGUAAUAGUAGUGGCUGACGUGUUAGUAACACUUGCGUAACCUACCCAUCACAGGGGGAUAUCACUUGGAUACAGGUGCUAAUUCCGCAUAACAUUUUAUGCCUCAUGGCUUAUGCGUUAAUGGCGCUUUCUGGUGUCGUUGAUGGAUGUACCCGCGGUGCAUUAGCUAGCCGGUUAGGUAACGGCUCACCAAGGCAAGGAUGCAUAGACGAACGGAGAGGGGGAUCGGCGAAACUGGAAGGGAGACACGGCGCAGACGCCUACGGGAGGCAGCAGUAGGGAAUCGUCGGCAAAGGACGAAAGUAUGAAGGAGCAACGAAGCGGGAGUGAAGAAGGUUUACGGAUCGUAAAACUAUGUUGUUAGAGAAGAAAAAAGAGGUUAGUAACAGAAAGUCGGCUGACGGUAGCUAACAAAAAAGACACGGCUAACUACGUG